rnacentral:rRNA from 1 species
AUUGAACGCUGGCGGCAGGCUUAACACAUGCAAGUCGAGCGGAGAGAGGUAGCUUGCUACUGAUCUUAGCGGCGGACGGGUGAGUAAUGCUUAGGAAUCGGCCUAUUAGUGGGGGACAACAUUUCGAAAGGAAUGCUAAUACCGCAUACGUCCUACGAGAGAAAGCAGGGGAUCUUCGGACCUUGCGCUAAUAGAUGAGCCUAAGUCGGAUUAGCUAGUUGGUGGGGUAAAGGCCUGCCAAGGCGACGAUCUGUAGCGGGUCUGAGAGGAUGAUCCGCCACACUGGGACUGAGACACGGCCCAGACGCCUACGGGAGGCAGCAGUGGGGAAUAUUGGACAAUGGGCGGAAGCCUGAUCCAGCCAUGCCGCGUGUGUGAAGAAGGCCUUAUGGUCGUAAAGCACUUUAAGCGAGGAGGAGGCUACUUUAGUUAAUACCUAGAGAUAGUGGACGUUACUCGCAGAAUAAGCACCGGCUAACUCUGUGCCAGCAGCCGCCGUAAAAC